CGGGCGACCCCGAAAGGCUUUACCCCCCCGUCUGUGUCACCCUGCUCGUCCCCCCCCCGCCAGCCGGCUGAAGCGAGAAAGCGUUUUUAAAAACUCAACCGGUAUGGAACGGUUGAGGUGCCGAGCGGUGUGAGGCGCGCUGCCGGCCCCGGACAGCAGCGGGGGCGCUCGCUGCUGCCCAGCUGAAGGAGCCGGCCGGAGAGGGGCCGCCUUUAGCGGCCAGGGGAAAACAAGAACUUGUUCUCAAAGCCGCCUGCUGGUGCAACGCAAUGGUGCAAAGAGCCGGCUCAUCUCAUCUCUUGCCUCCAGUGUUGGCUGACCCUCCGAUGUGCACUUCAUCUGACCCAAGCUAACUGGUCCUAAUUCUGAACAUGAGAUUUGGCUGCAGUGUUGUGAACUUGCUAUUCUCCAAGUGCAUGACUAAUCUGAACAGAAAAAUGAAUGCACGGGGACAACACAACAAUGAGGCUACUCCUAAGCUUGGGUUUUUUUAUUCAAGGUUUUAAAAUUUGUUUAGUUUUCAAUGGCACUCGCUUUGGAGCCUGUGUGAGUCGAAAAUAACUCACUACCUCAUACAGCUGAAGAACAUGCUGAUACAAUGAUCUGAUGGUGUGGUGUGCUGCUGAUGUAAAAACCAAAGAGGACAAACCAAGGAAAAGAAAUGAUAAAACACUGCUACAGGGAAAGGCCCAUUCUGCCACAGAUUAAAUAUAGCAACUUGAGUGGGGGGCUGCUGUGCCCAGUGUACCUGAGCAAGCAGGAGGAGCAAUGUGGGCAGCACAAGUUGGCAUGGGGGGCAGAGCACUGCUCUCCGCCACUGCGUGCAAAGGCAUCAGCCUCCUGGUUCUCACAUCCUCCACAGAUGUGACUACAGGACGUGCAGAUGUUGUGUGCUGCAAGCAUGGGUGCUGUCGGAGACCCAAGGCCCACUGUCAUUUCUUGCUGAUUAUUUGGGAAAAAAGGCCCCUUUCUAGUUACUGUGUGUUCAGUCUUGGACCACAGAAGUAGAGUGCAUGGGGUUCAGUCUUCUUUUGGGCUAAUUAAAUUAUCAUUUAAUUUCUUGAGAAAGGAUACUCACUACCUUUUCUUCUGAAGAAAGCCAACAUCUAAAUUUAUCUUGGGUGUUGCGUUUUUUAAAUAAAUUAUUUAUAGUUUUUAAAUUGUGUAGUGAAAAAAAAGCAUUUAGAACAUGUGACAGAAUGGCAGUUCUUGCCAGUGCUGCAAACAAACUGCGGCAAAGCCCCUUGUGCUGGAGACCAAUGUGCAAACCUGUGGGGAUGAAAUCACAUUUUAAAACUGAAUUUGGAAGGCAGAAAAUCCUCUCAAGAAAAUCUGUUUGCAUUAACGGAUGGAAGUAAUUUCCUCCCUUGUUAGAUAUUCUAGUGAAGGCAGAUAUUUGAUUUACAUCUGCUGUCUCCUAGUGACAUAAAAUGUGGUUUGGUGACACAGUCUCAAUGAAGAAACUGAAGGUCAGGGAACUAUUAAUCACUCUUUUGCUCAUAAUUUAAUACUUUAUAUUUAGGAUACUUAGGCAUCCAAAGAUGAAGACAGUGCUAUGCUGGAUUUAAAAAGUGUCUAAGAGGGGAACUGUCUUACCUUCACUUGCUUGUCAGUGCCUAGAGCAGCCAAAGGCUAUCGAUGACCUGUUGCAUGGCCCUACAUUGCUAAGGCUUAAAUGAAUGCACAAUACCACAGUGCACCCAGUCAGACUCAAUUCACGGCAAAUAGUGUGAUGCAAGUAAAAUCAGAGAGCUGAGUGGAGUUUCCAGAAUCCAGUUUUGCUCUAAUGAAGUGUAAUGCUAAACCCCACCUUCUCUUGGAUGGGAGCACAUGGCCUUUCUUCAGCUUCUGGGAAGCAGCAGUUGGGGACUUCUGACUGCACGGUCAGAAAGAAAGAGCUCGUCGCUGAAAGGGGCUCAGUGGUCCCUGUUCCCAUCCAUUUCACUGGAAGCUGAGAGCAGUGUUGUCCUGGUUUCGGCUGGGAUAGAGUUAAUUUUCUUCACAGUAGCUAGC